UAGGGAAUCUUCGGCAAUGGACGAAAGUCUGACCGAGCAACGCCGCGUGAGUGAAGAAGGUUUUCGGAUCGUAAAACUCUGUUGUUAGAGAAGAACAAGGACGUUAGUAACUGAACGUCCCCUGACGGUAUCUAACCAGAAAGCCACGGCUAACUACGUGCCAGCAGCCGCGGUAAUACGUAGGUGGCAAGCGUUGUCCGGAUUUAUUGGGCGUAAAGCGAGCGCAGGCGGUUUCUUAAGUCUGAUGUGAAAGCCCCCGGCUCAACCGGGGAAGGUCAUUGGAAACUGGGAGACUUGAGUGCAGAAGAGGAGAGUGGAAUUCCAGGUGUAGCGGUGAAAUGCGUAGAUAUAUGGAGGAACACCAGUGGCGAAGGCGGCUCUCUGGUCUGUAACUGACGCUGAGGCUCGAAAGCGUGGGGAGCAAACAGG
rnacentral:rRNA from 1 species